AGAGUUCGAUCCUGGCUCAGGAUGAACGCUGGCGGCGUGCCUAACACAUGCAAGUCGAACGGAGUCCAGCCUUUAAGACCUUCGGGUCAAAGAGGGGAAGACUGAGUGGCGGACGGGUGAGUAACACGUGGGCAACCUGGCUCAUAGAGGGGGAUAACAGAGAGAAAUUUCUGCUAAUACCGCAUAAGCACACACUGCCGCAUGGCAGAGGGUGAAAAGAGAAUCGCUAUGAGAUGGACCCGCGUCUGAUUAGCCAGUUGGCAGGGUAAGAGCCUACCAAAGCGACGAUCAGUAGCCGAUCUGAGAGGAUGAACGGCCACAUUGGGACUGAGACACGGCCCAAACUCCUACGGGAGGCAGCAGUGGGGAAUAUUGGACAAUGGGGGCAACCCUGAUCCAGCGACGCCGCGUGAGUGAAGAAGUAUUUCGGUAUGUAAAGCUCUAUCAGCAGGGAAGAAAAUGACGGUACCUGACUAAGAAGCCCCGGCUAACUACGUGCCAGCAGCCGCGGUAAUACGUAGGGGGCAAGCGUUAUCCGGAUUUACUGGGUGUAAAGGGAGCGUAGACGGCAAAUAAAGUCUGAAGUGAAAUCCCGCAGCUCAACUGCGGAGUUGCUUUGGAAACUUAUAAGCUGGAGUGUCGGAGGGGUAAGCGGAAUUCCCAGUGUAGCGGUGAAAUGCGUAGAUAUUGGGAGGAACACCGGAGGCGAAGGCGGCUUACUGGAAGAUAACUGACGUUGAGGCUCGAAGGCGUGGGUAGCAAACAGGAUUAGAUACCCUGGUAGUCCACGCAGUAAACGAUGAAUACUAGGUGUCGGGAGGGAAUAACCUUUUCGGUGCCGUCGCAAACGCAAUAAGUAUUCCACCUGGGGAGUACGUUCGCAAGAAUGAAACUCAAAGGAAUUGACGGGGACCCGCACAAGCGGUGGAGCAUGUGGUUUAA
rnacentral:rRNA from 1 species